rnacentral:rRNA from 1 species
GAGUUUGAUCAUGGCUCAGAUUGAACGCUGGCGGCAGGCCUAACACAUGCAAGUCGAACGGUAACGGGAAACAGCUUGCUGUUUCGCUGACGAGUGGCGGACGGGUGAGUAAUGUCUGGGAAACUGCCUGAUGGAGGGGGAUAACUACUGGAAACGGUAGCUAAUACCGCAUAACGUCGCAAGACCAAAGAGGGGGACCUUCGGGCCUCUUGCCAUCAGAUGUGCCCAGAUGGGAUUAGCUAGUAGGUGGGGUAACGGCUCACCUAGGCGACGAUCCCUAGCUGGUCUGAGAGGAUGACCAGCCACACUGGAACUGAGACACGGUCCAGACUCCUACGGGAGGCAGCAGUGGGGAAUAUUGCACAAUGGGCGCAAGCCUGAUGCAGCCAUGCCGCGUGUAUGAAGAAGGCCUUCGGGUUGUAAAGUACUUUCAGCGGGGAGGAAGGGAGUAAAGUUAAUACCUUUGCUCAUUGACGUUACCCGCAGAAGAAGCACCGGCUAACUCCGUGCCAGCAGCCGCGGUAAUACGGAGGGUGCAAGCGUUAAUCGGAAUUACUGGGCGUAAAGCGCACGCAGGCGGUUUGUUAAGUCAGAUGUGAAAUCCCCGGGCUCAACCUGGGAACUGCAUCUGAUACUGGCAAGCUUGAGUCUCGUAGAGGGGGGUAGAAUUCCAGGUGUAGCGGUGAAAUGCGUAGAGAUCUGGAGGAAUACCGGUGGCGAAGGCGGCCCCCUGGACGAAGACUGACGCUCAGGUGCGAAAGCGUGGGGAGCAAACAGGAUUAGAUACCCUGGUAGUCCACGCCGUAAACGAUGUCGACUUGGAGGUUGUGCCCUUGAGGCGUGGCUUCCGGAGCUAACGCGUUAAGUCGACCGCCUGGGGAGUACGGCCGCAAGGUUAAAACUCAAAUGAAUUGACGGGGGCCCGCACAAGCGGUGGAGCAUGUGGUUUAAUUCGAUGCAACGCGAAGAACCUUACCUGGUCUUGACAUCCACGGAAGUUUUCAGAGAUGAGAAUGUGCCUUCGGGAACCGUGAGACAGGUGCUGCAUGGCUGUCGUCAGCUCGUGUUGUGAAAUGUUGGGUUAAGUCCCGCAACGAGCGCAACCCUUAUCCUUUGUUGCCAGCGGUCCGGCCGGGAACUCAAAGGAGACUGCCAGUGAUAAACUGGAGGAAGGUGGGGAUGACGUCAAGUCAUCAUGCCCCUUACGACCAGGGCUACACACGUGCUACAAUGGCGCAUACAAAGAGAAGCGACCUCGCGAGAGCAAGCGGACCUCAUAAAGUGCGUCGUAGUCCGGAUUGGAGUCUGCAACUCGACUCCAUGAAGUCGGAAUCGCUAGUAAUCGUGGAUCAGAAUGCCACGGUGAAUACGUUCCCGGGCCUUGUACACACCGCCCGUCACACCAUGGGAGUGGGUUGCAAAAGAAGUAGGUAGCUUAACCUUCGGGAGGGCGCUUACCACUUUGUGAUUCAUGACUGGGGUGAAGUCGAAACAAGGUAACCGUAGGGGAACCUGCGGUUG